rnacentral:rRNA from 1 species
CGGGGAAUUUUGCGCAAUGACCGAAAGGUUGACGCAGCAACGCCGCGUGUAUGAUGAAGGCUUUCGGGUCGUAAAGUACUUUCAGUGGGGAAGAACUGCAUAAUCAGUAACUGGGUUAUGAUUGACGGUACCCACAGAAGCAGCCCCGGCUAACUCCGUGCCAGCAGCCGCGGUAAUACGGAGGGGGCAAGCGUUGUUCGGAGUCACUGGGCGUAAAGAGCUCGUAGGCGGCAGUGUAAGUCGGGAGUUAAAGGCAACAGCUCAACUGUUGUAAGGCUUCUGAAACUACAUUGCUAGAGUGCCAGAGAGGUAUGCGGAAUUCCCUGUGUAGCGGUGAAAUGCGUAGAUAUAGGGAGGAACACCGGUUGCGAAGGCGGCAUACUGGCUGGUAACUGACGCUGAGGAGCGAAAGCGUGGGUAGCAAACA